GGGACACUGAGACAAUAGGGGACAUAUGGGGACACUGGGACACUAGGGGACACAGACACUAGGGGACACAUGGGGACACAGAAACUAGGGGACACUGAGACACUAAGACACAGACACUGGGAGACCUGGGAACACUGAGACACUUGGGGACACUGGAAAACAUGGGGACACUGGGACACUAGGGAACACUGAGACACUAGGGGACAUAUGGGGACACUGAGACACUAGGGGGCACAUGGGGACACA